AGUGAACGCUGGCGGUAGGCCUAACACAUGCAAGUCGAACGGCAGCACAGUAAGAGCUUGCUCUUACGGGUGGCGAGUGGCGGACGGGUGAGGAAUACAUCGGAAUCUACUUUUUCGUGGGGGAUAACGUAGGGAAACUUACGCUAAUACCGCAUACGACCUACGGGUGAAAGCAGGGGAUCUUCUGACCUUGCGCGAUUGAAUGAGCCGAUGUCGGAUUAGCUAGUUGGCGGGGUAAAGGCCCACCAAGGCGACGAUCCGUAGCUGGUCUGAGAGGAUGAUCAGCCACACUGGAACUGAGACACGGUCCAGACUCCUACGGGAGGCAGCAGUGGGGAAUAUUGGACAAUGGGCGCAAGCGUGAUCCAGCCAUACCGCGUGGGUGAAGAAGGACUUCGGGUUGUAAAGCCCUUUUGUUGGGAAAGAAAAGCAGCAGGUUAAUACCACGCUGUUAUGACGGUACCCAAAGAAUAAGCACCGGCUAACUUCGUG
rnacentral:rRNA from 1 species